AAGGCAAGGGAGAGGAAUGGAUGAGGAUAAGGUAUAGGGAGAGGAGUUAGAAUGCGUGGUGGUGCUCAAAGAAGGGCCAGAGCUAGGGUAACUGAUGAAAUAAGAGCUACUAUCAUAGACCAUGUCAUAAACCACGGGUUAUCAGGAUGGCUGGGGAACGACUAUAACCAAAUCUUAGACGGGACACAGUGGCAUCCAUUGUCCGGAUUUUUCAAGAAACCAACAGGAUUCAACAUCUACCCCCCUCAGGGGGAAGAGGAAAGCACCUACUGUAAAUGAAGAACAGGAACUUGCCAUUUUCAACAUGACAAUGAAAUAAAACCUUUACUGCAGCAA